UGAAAGAGAGAGACAUAAGCUAUUCGGCCAAGCCAUGGCUGAAUUUGGCCAUGGAAAUUUAGUAAGAAAAAAAUAUUUUGUUCUAGCUUUCCUAUCAAUUGAGAGGUCCUCUACGACAUGGAGUAGUUGUUGGAAUAAGAAAAUUAUCCGUCAUGGCAAAGUAUCAACCCUAGCCGAGUGAAGAAAUUGAAUGAAGAAGGUAUACUAGCGAGCUUGGACAAUAAGCAUAACUAAUAGGGCGUGGAACAGGUACACCCAGAUGAUGUGAAGUUAUUAUAGAGGACGUUCCAGCAGAGUUGACAAGCUCCAUUUGCUCCUGGAGUGCUGCUAGUCAGAGUUUGUAUGUUAUGCUUUUUUUCUGCACCGACGUUAGAGACUUUGCAAACAGAGUCGUGGGUAUAGUAUGUCAGUUGUGUAAGUGGAUUCAUCAGCCGAUAUGUCAUUCUGUAUUAUGUAUUAAAUUCUAUAUGGUCACAGAUUCUGUUUGAUUUGGAAAGCAUCGAAAAGAAUAUUUUGAGAGGUUAUUAUGUAUUUUAUCUUUAUUUGAUUUAAAAGUCUAAUAGGAUUUUGUGUGUCCCUAAGGUCUGUGGGUUGGGGUUCGCUCGGCUCCGGAUGUGGGGCCGGGUGCCCAUCACACCCUACUGGAAUUAGGGUGUGACACAUAGACACUCAUUAUCCGGAUUUAGCUUGCAAGUACUAGUGUGCAUUCGCGAUUGGAUUAGAUCAGAGCGACGCAACAAAAACUUACAAGCGGUGGAAGGCGAAGAGGAAGAGAUUGAAGAUUUGAUAGCAAGUGGAGCGGACCAAAUGAAAGACUUUGAAGAUAUCUCCAUGACCGAAUAUGGUAUGGGGGAAAUUAGCCAAAUGAAUGACAAUUGGUGAUUUUAUUAUUCUACUAUUUCUUUGCAACUCAUGUAUUAUUUGCAAGUUAAAAAACAAAACUACAACUUACAAAUAAAUGUUAUCCAAG